rnacentral:rRNA from 1 species
GAUGAACGCUAGCGGCAGGCCUAACACAUGCAAGUCGAGGGGCAGCACAGAAACAGCAAUGUUUUGGUGGCGACCGGCGGACGGGUGCGUAACGCGUAUGCAACCUACCUUUAACAGGGGGAUAACGGAGAGAAAUUUCCACUAAUACCCCAUAACAUCGAUCAAGGCAUCUUGAUUGGUUGAAAACUCCGGUGGUUAAAGAUGGGCAUGCGUUGUAUUAGGUAGUUGGUGAGGUAAUGGCUCACCAAGCCUACGAUACAUAGGGGGACUGAGAGGUUAGCCCCCCAAGCUGGUACUGAGACACGGACCAGACUCCUACGGGAGGCAGCAGUGAGGAAUAUUGGUCAAUGGGGGCAACCCUGAACCAGCCAUGCCGCGUGCAGGAAGACGGCUCUAUGAGUUGUAAACUGCUUUUAAACAGGGAUAAAGCACAGUAUGUAUACUGUGUUGAAGGUACUGUAAGAAUAAGGAUCGGCUAACUCCGUGCCAGCAGCCGCCGUAA